UAGAGGAAGUAAAAGUCGUAACAAGGUUUCCGUAGGUGAACCUGCGGAAGGAUCAUUACAGUAGUCGCCCGGGUUGCCGCAAGGCCUCCCGGGUAACCUACCACCCUUUGUUUAUUACACUUUGUUGCUUUGGCAAGCCUGCCCUCGGGCUGCUGGCUCCGGCCGGCGAGCGCUUGCCAGAGGACCUAAACUCUGUUUGUUAAUAUUGUCUGAGUACUAUAUAAUAGUUAAAACUUUCAACAACGGAUCUCUUGGUUCUGGCAUCGAUGAAGAACGCAGCGAAAUGCGAUAAGUAAUGUGAAUUGCAGAAUUCAGUGAAUCAUCGAAUCUUUGAACGCACAUUGCGCCCCCUGGUAUUCCGGGGGGCAUGCCUGUCCGAGCGUCAUUACAACCCUCAAGCUCAGCUUGGUGUUGGGCCCCGCCGCCCCGGCGGGCCCUAAAGUCAGUGGCGGUGCCGUCCGGCUCCGAGCGUAGUAAUUCUUCUCGCUCUGGAGGUCCGGUCGUGUGCUCGCCAGCAACCCCCAAUUUUUUUCAGGUUGACCUCGGAUCAGGUAGGGAUACCCGCUGAACUUAAGCAUAUCAAU
rnacentral:rRNA from 1 species